CCUACGGGUGGCUGCAGUGGGGAAUAUUGCACAAUGGGCGCAAGCCUGAUGCAGCCAUGCCGCGUGUGUGAAGAAGGCCUUCGGGUUGUAAAGCACUUUCAGCGGGGAGGAAGGCGGUGAGGUUAAUAACCUCAUCGGUUGACGUUACCCGCAGAAGAAGCACCGGCUAACUCCGUGCCAGCAGCCGCGGUAAUACGGAGGGUGCAAGCGUUAAUCGGAAUUACUGGGCGUAAAGCGCACGCAGGCGGUCUGUCAAGUCGGAUGUGAAAUCCCCGGGCUCAACCUGGGAACUGCAUUCGAAACUGGCAGGCUAGAGUCUUGUAGAGGGGGGUAGAAUUCCAGGUGUAGCGGUGAAAUGCGUAGAGAUCUGGAGGAAUACCGGUGGCGAAGGCGGCCCCCUGGACAAAGACUGACGCUCAGGUGCGAAAGCGUGGGGAGCAAACAGGAUUAGAUACCCCGGUAGUC
rnacentral:rRNA from 1 species